rnacentral:lncRNA from 1 species
AAAAUAGUCGGCCACCUAACCUUCUACCCGAAUUCUCGAUCUCCACCAAUGUUAUCAAAUGCGAAAAGCACAAAAAAGCUCUAAGGUCCAUAGGGGCUUUAAGCACAAAGCGCAAAUAAAGCGUGAGCUUUAAUGGAAAAAAGUGCAACCAGAGAAAAAAUAAAAAUAUGUUUAUGUAUACAGAGCCGUGGUUAGACCAGCGAUGUUGUACGGGGCAGAGUGCUGGCCCGUGAAGAACUCCCAUGUCCAGAGAAUGAAGGUUGCUGAGAUGAGGAUGCUUAGGUGGNNN